UUCACUUCUUUUGUGGAUCUUCAGUUGCU
rnacentral:piRNA from 1 species